GCCUGGCUGGCUCAGUCGGUAGAGCAUGUGAUUCUUGAUCUCGAGGGUUGUGAGUUCAAGCCACACGUUGGGUG
rnacentral:tRNA from 1 species